UACCAGCUCCCCGAGUGGUGGGGACGAUUAUUGGGCUUAAAGCGUCCGUAGCCGGCUUGGCAAGUCUUUCGUUAAAUCCAGCGGCUUAACCGUUGGGCUGCGGGAGAUACUGUCAGGCUAGGGGGCGGAAGAGGCCGACGGUAUUCUCGGGGUAGGGGUGAAAUCCUAUAAUCCCGGGAAGACCACCAGUGGCGAAGGCGGUCGGCUAGUACGCGCUCGACGGUGAGGGACGAAAGCUGGGGGAGCGAACCGGAUUAGAUACCCGGGUAGUCCCAGCUGUAAACGAUGCGAGCUAGGUGUUGGGGCGGCUACGUGCCGCUUCGGUGCCGCAGGGAAGCCAUUAAGCUCGCCGCCUGGGAAGUACGGCCGCAAGGCUGAAACUUAAGGAAUUGGCGGGGGAGCACUACAAGGCGUGAAGCUUGCGGUUC
rnacentral:rRNA from 1 species